GUCUAUGCCUGGAAAGCUCCUGUGUGCUGGUUGUGUGCUAAGCCUAUAUUUAUUGUUUUUAGAAUUCAAGAAGAGGGAGCAGAAACAACAGCAGACUGUAUCUCACAGCCACAGCCAAGAAAGAAAGAACUCUCAAACAAAGAAGCCAGCAACUGCAACCAAAAACCUCCAUUUGGGACACAUGAGUCUGAGCAAGUCUCCAUAACUCUUUCUUUAUUUUGCCAAUUCUGUUGUUUGUGUUAAGAAAGAUACACUUCAAAGUGCACAUAUACAGUAUCAUUUAAUUGUUGUUAUCAUUCUGUUCACUUCUAUGGAGAAUUAGAGGGGGGGAAAUCCCACAAGACAGGAUUACACUGCCAAUUGUAAACUCACCCAUACAUAGUGUAAAGAAAGUGUUCUACUAGGAGACAGGAAAGGGAAGGGGGCAGUGAAAGUCAAGAAGCAUGGAACUUGGCCAGUGCAGUGGAGAGAACAAGAGGGAGAAGGAAUAUGGAAAAGAUGGAGGAGAGGGGUUGAAAUUAUGAAGUCCAUGCAAAUAGGAUGUGGUGAUGUUCACUAGCAUACAGAUGAUUCUGAAACAAUUAGACAACUUUGUGGCGGCUGAAAUAGACCAGGAGGUCCUGGGGAAGGGGUGAAGGGGCUAGGUAGCUUGGCCUACCAUCGAGGUCGUGACUGGAGUGAUGUGACUUUCAGUUCCAUAGAAGAGAGAUUUGCUUCUGUUGUCCUUGCAGAUAGUGACCUGAGUCCCAAGAGGACAAUACAUCUUGAAAUAGGGCCAGAGGUUGGAUUUCGCAGAGCCCUCAAUCACCUAUGCCUGUCAAUCACCCAUACCACCCAACUCCCUUUGGUGUCCCUAGCAUCUACCCAUGGGGAACAAUGGGCUGAUUCAAGUUCCCUGUUGUUCCUUAUGGGCAAAACAAGCAGAGUGCACACAGUUUGCAAACCUGCUGUUUGUGCAGAGGUGGGGCAAGUGAUUCCCAACAACCUCAGCUUUCCCUGGAAAGGCUUUGUGCAAGCAGAGUUGGGGCUUCAGAGUUAGGCCUGAUUCAAUUCAACCUCAAAUUGAAUUGCAAAAACCAAUUCGUGCACAUCCCUACUUUUUCCUGCCCUGUUCCCUGCAGCCUUGCUGGCCAAUUAAUUGCUCAGCUAGGUAUGUAUGUACAGUAAGUGACAUCUAAAGCAAUGAGGACUAGUGAUCCUGAAGAGAUUACAAUGCACACCAGCAUCUUCCAGAGCAUUAAGUUGGCUUGCUUAACUGUUCUUAAAGAUGGGUGGCUGUUGCCAACCAAGGUAAAGUCUGGGAUGGCAGGGCAAAGCACACCCGAAGGCCCGCCUGUGUCUAGUGUUGAAAGAUAUCCUUCAGUUGUCUUCCCUUGCCUGAGCUGUGAGAUCCGGAGUCCAGCCGGGUGCAUUCACCCAUCGCUUUGCUCUCCCCAUCUAACACAAUUUCAUCUCCGGUAUUCAUACAAUGCAGCUGCUUCUCAGAGAGCAGGGGACCCUCAGAGGUCGCAUGCUCGGGUAAUUGCCACUUGAUUUUGUGGUCAGGUUCUAGGCUGUGUGAAGCAGCAGCACUGAAGAACUACCUGGGGGUUUGUGGGGCAAUAAGCCCUCCAGCUGAAGCUGGCUUCAAAAGCUGCCCCCAAGCACCCCCCUCAUGUGGUUUCCAUGUCCCUUGCUUAAGCUUGUCGUUUUUCAGGAGCUGGCAUUUCCCCUCACUGGCAUCUUCAGCAGAAUCAUGAGAGUGAUGGAAGGGUUUUCUCGAUUCCUACUGUCUGGAACAUCAAGGAACCUCUAAGGCUGUGAGGAAUUGGCAGCUUUUGCAGGUGGCUGUGAAAGAUCACCCCCACCAGUGACUCCAUUAAGGGCAACCCCCCCCAGAUGGAGCUUCUGGAAGAGGAAGAACCGGAUUGAACCAUCUCCAACUGCAGAAGGGGGCUCUCAGGCUUCUUCAGGAGUCACAAUCGUUCAUCCUCUGGUGGACAACCUUUUUGAAUGCCAUCGUGGAAAGCGUGAAAGAUGCUGAGUCCAGUGGCCAACAUACUCUGGAGUACAACAAAGAGGAGGCUGUUGAGACCAUUUUGGUGUGAGAAAUGCAGCAGAGAAUGGAAGAGAAUGACCAAGCACAGACCCAGUUCAAACCUGACUGCCAUCUUUAUUUUAUUUUAUUUUAUUGCUUAUUUCUCUAUGUAAACUACUUGGAAACCUUUGUUGAAAAACAGUAUGUAAAUAUUUGUUGUGGUGGUUUUUGUUGUUGUCACUAUCCCAAUGAAGUCCAUGGGUACUGACCAACUCUCUUCUGCUCUUUGACCUCUUCCAGGAGAUAAUGGAGGAUGUUACGUUGCAUCUGGACCCUGGCUCCCUCUUGAGAAAAGCCAUGGACACCGUCAAGGAGCUCAGGCUGCGAAGGAACUGCCAAUGCUGCAGGAAGCUGUUUCAGACCUCCCCCUCAUGUGACUCCAUCACGAGCAAGCACCCCAGACGGAGGUUCUCAAAGAGGAGGAACUGUAUUGAACCAACUUCGGCUCCUCCUCCAACUCUGGCUUCUCCUCCAACUCCAGAAGGGGGUUUCCAGACAUCUUCGGGAGUCACAAUUGGCUGCGAAGGGUCUGCAGUUGCUGCAGGGAACUAUGGAAAGCCUCCCCCUCAUAUGACUCCAAGCCCCCCAGACGGAGGUUGUGGAAGAGGAGGAAUCAGAUUGGACCCCCUCCUGCUCCUCCUCCAACUCUGGCUUCGCCAGCAUCUCCUUCUUUUGUGAGAAUCAGCAACGACUUGAGCCUUGCAGCAGAGAAGAUAAGAGAAAGAGAUAAGAUCAUCCUCUGGUGGACAUCCGUGCUUAAUCUGUUGCAGAGCAAGUGAAAGCUGCAGAGUCCAGUGGCCAGGAGGAUACAUUGCAGUUCAGCAAGCUGAAGAUUGUUGAAGCCAUUUUGGUGGACCAUUAUGAAGAUGAUCAGAGGGCUGCUGAAGGAGGCCCCCUCUAUCCUGAACAUAAUUGGCAUCUUGAAGGUAAGUGCAAUGAAAGACCUAUUCGGACAUUAGGUAGUACAUGUAUGCAGGUUUCUGAACACUCAUACAUGAUUUUGUGUGCAUGACUGUAGUUGCAUUUGUUUUACAAGUGAACCUGGGCAUGGGCCCCUCACAGGCCUGGUGCAGAGAGGAAGUGUCAAGCAGUGCCUGUAUUCAACAUCAGGUAUGAAUUGCUGUCCCUGCGUCCAGAUCUGCACCUGUGCACUGUCCACUCAUGGUCUGAGUGUGGAACAUAAGGUGUGAAUGGGGCUUCUGUUUUCAUCCUCUCUGACAUUCGAACGUGGCCUGACAGAAAGAAGCAGCAGACCCCAUUCUCUUUGUCUAUUGAAGAUAUGUCUAGGUCGCUUCCCUAUUAGAAGCAAACUGGCUGAGAAGACAGAGAAAACCAUCAUUCCAAUAAGCAACCUUCAGAAAUAUUUAAGAUCUUUUAAACUUAAUUUGGGGGGAUGGUUAUAUGGGAUUAGAUCAUCCUUAGACUUAUUUGGGACAGCAACCAAGGGAUCUUCCUGUAAUAGGGCAAAUUCCUUCCGGGCUUAGCUCUCGGGAGCAGGGCAAGGGAUUAGUUAGACCAGUGCAAUGACUGUGAGCUGCUGCUUUAACCCACAGGAGCUCCACAAGUACAUCAGCGCUGAGGAGGCUCUGGGCCUUGAAGCCUACAGCUAUGCUCUGGCUCACGUGGCCAGACUGCCCAAUAUGGAAGUAAGUACCCUGCUGCUGGCAGGGCUUGGCUCUGCUUCAGAAUCUUCUGGGACCCCUUGUCAGAUUCCAGGUACAGAAGAAGACCUCUGAUUAGUCUCUUGUUACACAGAGUCUGGACUGCCUGGCAGCACACUUGCUGGAGAGGGGCUGUUUCCACUGGGACUCACUGCAUGCCCCUCCAGAUAGCAGCAGAGGCAGGAGGAACAGGAGAGAGCUGCCCACCCCCCCACCCCCAAUGUGUCUUCUGGCUGCCCAGUGCCCACACUCCAUCUUUGGGAAUCCUCAACUUUGUACCGAACUGUAUCAUUGUAAAUUCUUAGCUGCUUUGGAUAUGGUGUCAGAUUGACAUGAAAGAAACAUGCCCAUCUCUAUUUCUACCGCUGGCCACAUGGAAGGAUCUGUCUCGCAAAGAAGAGGAGUUGGCUCAUCCUGACAUCCAGAGCACCAACAGAUGAGGCUGAUCUGUGGAAAGGCACCAGAGAGGAGAGUCAGUCUGAAGCUUCUCUAUCCCAGUUCCUUUGAUUUGGUGGUUGGUGGCAAGAUUGUGUGGGCAUAUUCUGGUUUUGUAUGCACUGUGGUGUGUGAUAUCCUUUACCCAGACAUGGCUUAUAAGACAGACACUAAAACGGGAGAAGUGUGACUUAGAAGAGAGCAAGGCAGCAAACUCUAAGGGGCUCGUCUGUUAAUGAAAUGAUGCUUGGCAUGGUUUGCACCUUGCAGCCUUCUGCUCCAUUUGUGUCCUGCUCAUCUCCUGACAUUCUAAUGAGAGAGUCAGCAUUGUGUAGUGGUUAGAGUGUUGGACUAAGACCAGGAAGACCUGAGUUCAAAUCCCCAUUCAGCCAUGAAAUCAUUGGGUGACUCUGGGCCAGUAUCUCAAUAUGACUUGUAUUGUAUUGAAUCUGUAAUGCCACUUGUACCCCAGAUCUAAUUGAAAAUAGGUUCUGCUGACCUCAGUGGAAACUGCUUCCAAGUUAAAAAUGAUAACUACCCAAAACAAUACUGCCUCUGAACGUUAGUAUUUUUAAAAAUACUUUAAGUUUAUUGAAAUAUGGAGAAACACAACCGUAGUACAAGUAUAGGUGAAUGUUUGACCUGCCUUGUGUAGACUGAUGAUCUCCCAUGAAACAACACUAUGAAAAUUACAGAGAAAUACUCCUUCCUCCAAAGUUUGCUUCAUUUGGAACCUGUCUUACAGGGAUAGUACUAUUUUAGAUGUGAGCACCACCCUGUUUUAGGAAUAACAAGUAGAGCUACUGGAAUGUUGUCCAGUUCAAGACAGGUUGCAAUGGAGUCACAACAGUGUGUAUGUGGAGGGGAGAGUGAAAUUUUAUUGUGAAAUGUGAAAUUGUAUUGCAAUUAUUAGACAGUGAUUCGGAAAAAUUGCCAUUUCUGUUGACUUUUGCGCUACUUCAAUACAAGUACCCCAGGCAGCAAAUUGCUUUUAAGAGGCUAUAUCACCUGCACCCACUCACCCUGCUGACUUUUGUGAUCCUCCCCACCAAGACUUUGAAGCUGGCUACAGGCCUGUGGAGAGGAGAGCUGGCCUUGUGGUAGCAAGCUUCAUCCAGCUGAUGAGAACAUUACACUAAAGGUCUUGUGGAAUAAAAAUGUCUUCAAUGCGCACUUGAAUGUUUUGAUAUUGUGAUGAUGUGAGAAAGAGCCAUCCAGCUUUGUCCCAAGGCCCUUAAUAGAAUGAAUUGCUAAUAUAUCCUUGAAUACAGAAUACUGAGGAGGUGGGGUUUUUUGGUCCUCUGCAAAGGGUAAGCAGCAGCCCAUCUCUCUCUAAUGCCAGGCUAACCCCGAUCCGCUUUUUUCAGUGGCCUGGCAGUAUGAUGUCCAUUGCAGUGCCAUCCAAGAGCCAAGU